rnacentral:rRNA from 1 species
GAUGAACGCUAGCGGCAGGCCUAACACAUGCAAGUCGAGGGAGAAGCCCUUUCGGGGGCAGAAACCGGCGCACGGGUGCGUAACGCGUAUGCAACCUACCUUUCACAGGGGGAUAGCCCGAAGAAAUUUGGAUUAAUACCCCAUAAUAUUAUUGGAUGGCAUCAUUUGAUAAUUAAAACUGCGGUGGUGAAAGAUGGGCAUGCGUCCUAUUAGCUAGUUGGAGUGGUAACGGCACCCCAAGGCUACGAUAGGUAGGGGUCCUGAGAGGGAGAUCCCCCGCACUGGUACUGAGACAGGGACCAGACUCCUACGGGAGGCAGCAGUGAGGAAUAUUGGUCAAUGGUCGGAAGACUGAACCAGCCAUGCCGCGUGCAGGAAGAAUGCCUUAUGGGUUGUAAACUGCUUUUAGAUGGGAAGAAUAAGGCGUACGUGUACGUUGAUGACGGUACCAUAUGAAUAAGCAUCGGCUAACUCCGUG